UGAACCGCAGUUGGCCAUGUGGAGUCCAGCACCUUUAACCGCCACACCACCUGCCGACGCCAUUCCCUAUUCCUGUUAUUAGCAUUACUUUUGCAACCCCUGCCAUUCCUGGUAUUCGUAGCUAGAGGUUUACUGAGUGCUUACUAUGCGUGGGGUGCCUGUGUGUACAGUACCCUGGGCGGUCUGCACAGCCAUGUCCUGAGUAGAUACCGUCAUUUUAUAGAUGAGAAAACCGAGGCAGAGGCCUAACUGAACUGACUAGGAGGUUCCAGUGCCCUGGCAGAGCUGAGGGCCAGGAGGAUGGGGCUAAUAACACCUUUGGGGGGCCAGCGGGUGGUGUGGAGGUUGAGGCACUGUACCCCCACAUGGCUGACUGCAUGGCCCACGACCUGGACCUAUUGGCUUGAAAAAUAUGCCAGGCAUUGCAUACGCCCUAUAACAAAAAACAAAAAGGCCAACUCUGGAAGUUGAAAAGAUUUCUGAGAAUGUCUACAGAAGUGCUCUGUGCAGCCCAGCCACAUGGCACACGGACGAUCCUCUUCUCUGGCCUGGCCACUAACUUCAUCUGUGAACAUCACUUCCAGCCUCCCGCCACUGCUGCGGCACCUUGGGUCCUCUGACCUCACAUGUGUGCUCGAGAUACAAUCUCCGUGCGUCCUUAGCACUCUCGUCUGUGUCAUGCAUCAGGGGAGACGGCCUCGGGACAGUGGUGACUGAUUUUCCUGGUCAAAACACAGUGUCUGUGCCUUAGCCACUGUCACCGGCUCCCACAUGGCCGACCGCUGUUCAAGUCCCAGACCUGGCUGCUUGAAACUCACACCAGGGGCACGUGUGCAUGCGUGUCCACAAUCCCGAGAGGAGAAUGGAAGGAAAGGGGUUGUGGUGUGGCCAUCCCCCCGGGGGGUGAUUUCUAGCUUUUUCUCUGUCUCUCCCAUGAUCACGUGCACCUUUAUAGCAAAAAUCUAACCACAAAAACCCAGGGCCUGGGCAGUGGCCACAGACUUGGAAGUGAGCAUGUGAGGGCCCAAGCCUCUUUGCUGUC